UGGCAAUCCUGGGAUGGUGGUUUUAUUAUCCCUGCUUUAACAGAGGGAGGACUUGAAUCUCGAGUUAAAGUAAUUUGCUCAGGAUUGUAAGGUCUUUUGUGAAGACUUUGAAGUUGCAGGUUCAUUCUGCCGCCAUAUACGUAACAUUCUAAGGUCUGCUUUUUAUAAGACAUAAUAGCUGACACUAUGAGCAAAAGAGACAGAGCUGUUGCCAUUAUGUGGCUUACAGUUUAAUGAAGAAGAUGGACAACAAUCUCACAAGUAAAUCUAUACCUACAAAGUAUGAGAAGUCCUGAAAAAGGAAGGUACAGGUAACUGGGAAGGAAUACAUGAUUAACUCUAUGGUGUCAGGGGGGCUUCAUUCCCUCCAAUUAAUGUUUUCUUCCAGAAUUUCCUUUACUAGAUAUAUUCUACAAACGUCAGAUAUAUUUUCAAGUUUUUAAACAAAUUUGAUCCAUACUUUAAUUAGAGUUGAAUUAAAUUUGUAAUUGAAUUCAGGAAGAUUUCAUGUAUUUGUAAUAUUAAACAUUUACAGCUAAGCACAAGGUGUAUUUCACUUUAACUAUGUAUUUUUUGAAAAUCCCAUUAGGAAGUCAAUUUUUUUUGGAUGAAACUUGGAUACGUCUUAAUAAAUUUGAUAUCAGACAUUUAAUUAUUUUUGCUGUAGUUGUUAAUGGUAUCUGUUUUCAUAUGAUUUUAAAAGUCACUUACUGGCAUACAGGAUAGCUACGAAGACUUGCAUAUUUGAUGAUAUAUGUCAUUUAAUAGUAAUAUUAGUAAUAUAGUAAUAUUCUAUACCAUAUAAGUUGUCUAUUGCAACUGUUUUUUAUUCUUGGUAUUUCUAGUGGAUCAUCAAAUAAUUAGUUUUUUCAUUUCAAUAUUCAUACUGAUUUUUAACAUUUUAAUUGAUUUUACUGGCUACCUCUUUCUUAGCAUUGUAAUAUAAAAUUGAUGACAGAUAGCAAGUGUGUUUGUCUUUUUCCUGACUUUAGGUUGAUUUAAAUGCAAUUCUUCUAGUGUUACACAAACAUACAUGAUGCUAAUUGUUGGUUUGCUAUAAAGUUUAUAGUGUUUGGAAAUAUAUUUCCAGCAUAGUAAAAGUAUUUUUAACUAAAAUAUAAAUGUUCUUCAAACUUAUCAAAUAGAUUUAAAGCAAUGAAGGGGAUGCUCAUGCUCAUCUUUUUCUUUCUGUCCUAGAGGUAUAGUAAUUUAUAUUAAUAAAUUUCCUAAUAUUGAACUAUCUUUGAGUGAAUAGCUGAAUUCUAUCUCCAAUCAUUUACUAAAAAUAUUUGUACUGUAUUUGUGAGUUUAAUCCAUAGUUCCCUUAUUUUUUCUUUCUUUUUUCUUAAUCUUUUAUUCAUCCUUUUAUUCUGAAAACAGCAUUUCUGAUAUCAGAAUUUCCAGACUUUUCUUAUAAUUGGGAAAUUUUUUCUCUUUUAUUCUAUACAAGAUGUUAGAUGACUUAAGAAUUUCUGUUUCUUGAGGUUUUUUUGAAUGACGUUAUCCAAAAACUUCUGUGUGCCUAGCGGCUUUUAAAGGGGAAGCUUCUUUGAUAAUUUUCUUUGAUAAUUUUUUCAGCAUUUUCUAUAGUCAAUAAUCUAUUCAGGUUUUACUAGUUUGUAAUAAUAUUUGGUCAUCUAUAUUUUUAUACUAGUUAAAUUCACUAAUAUUUAUCAAAUGUUGUCAGAUGUGCUCUUAAAAUCAAUUUUAUUUCUUCUUUGUUUGUAAUUAUAUAAACUUUACAGGUUGAAUUUGGAAUAUUUUUAUUUUCCUUUUUUUUUUUUGAGAUGGAUCCUUGCUCUGUCGCCUAGGCUGGAGUGCAGUGAUGCAGGCUUGGCUCACUGCAACCUCCGCCUGCCGGGUUCAAGUGAUUCGUCUGCCUCAGCCUCCCAGUAGCUGGGACUACAGGCACGCACCACCACGCCCGGCUAAUUUUUGUAUUUUUAGUAGAGAUGGGGUUUCACCAUACUGGCCAGGCUGGUGUCAAAUUCCUGAGCUCGUGAUCCGCCGCCUCGAUCUCCCAAAGUACUGGGAUUACAAGCGUAAGGCACCGCGCCCGGCCUUUUCUUUUCCUUUUUCCUGCUUUUGUUGUUUGUUUGCUGUUUUCUUCCAGCUUUCCAGGUAGGCUCAGUUAAUCUCACUCUGUCCCUUUGGUUUCUUGCUUAAUAAUGACAGCCCUUAAGGUAAAUAAUCUUUCUCUAAGAAUAGUUUUUGGCUACAUCUUAUGUGCUUUGGUAGAUAGAAUUCUAAAUUAUUUUUUAUUUUCUAAAUAAUCUAUAAUUAUAGAUCUGAUUGUUUUUUAACUCAAGUGUUAUCACACACGUACAUUAAUGUGUAUAUGUAUUUUUAUUUCAUAUAUAUGUAUAAAUAUAUGCAUAUAUGUAUAUAUAUUUAAUACUGAAGUCAGAAUAUUUUUGUGUUUAUAAAUU
rnacentral:lncRNA from 10 species